rnacentral:rRNA from 1 species
CACGUAGGGCGCAAGCGUUGUCCGGAAUUAUUGGGCGUAAAGAGCUCGUAGGCGGUCUGUUACGUCUGCUGUGGAAACCCGGGGCUUAACCCUGGGCUUGCAGUGGAUACGGGCAGACUAGAGGCAGGUAGGGGAGAAUGGAAUUCCCGGUGUAGCGGUGAAAUGCGCAGAUAUCGGGAGGAACACCGGUGGCGAAGGCGGUUCUCUGGGCCUGACCUGACGCUGAGGAGCGAAAGCGUGGGGAGCGAACAGG